rnacentral:rRNA from 1 species
UAGGGAAUCUUCCGCAAUGGACGAAAGUCUGACGGAGCAACGCCGCGUGAGUGAUGAAGGUUUUCGGAUCGUAAAACUCUGUUGUUAGGGAAGAACAAGUACGAGAGUAACUGCUCGUACCUUGACGGUACCUAACCAGAAAGCCACGGCUAACUACGUGCCAGCAGCCGCGGUAAUACGUAGGUGGCAAGCGUUGUCCGGAAUUAUUGGGCGUAAAGCGCGCGCAGGGCGGGUUCCUUAAGUCUGAUGUGAAAGCCCACGGCUCAACCGUGGAGGGUCAUUGGAAACUGGGGAACUUGAGUGCAGGAGAGAAGAGUGGAAUUCCACGUGUAGCGGUGAAAUGCGUAGAGAUGUGGAGGAACACCAGUGGCGAAGGCGACUCUUUGGCCUGUAACUGACGCUGAGGCGCGAAAGCGUGGGGAGCAAACAGGAUUAGAUACCCUGGUAGUCCACGCCGUAAACGAUGAGUGCUAAGUGUUAGAGGGUUUCCGCCCUUUAGUGCUGCAGCAAACGCAUUAAGC